CGAGACAGUGAAUAUAAUGAAAUACAUGGAAUACAACGAGAUAUAUUGAAAUACAAUAAAAAAAGACAAUGAAUACAAUGAAAUACGUGAAAAUACAGCGAGAUAUAUUGAAAUAUAUUAACAGAAAAUUCAAGUUGCUCCGCCCCAAUAUCCGUCGUCUUUGUUCAAGAACAAAUUCUAAUUUUCGGCGAAUCCACCGUUAAGCAAUGAUGGCAGAAUAAGGAUUCCGUUAAAAUUUGAAUCUUGUACGAAGACGACGGAAGUUGAGAACCUCGAGUUUAUCCAAUAUUAGAACUCUUCUUUCUUCAGAAGAUAAAACUCGAGGAGAUAGAGCCAUCUACAAACAAAAAAAAGAUUUUAAGUAAAGGCCCUAAAAGAAUUUUGUUAAUGUUAGAUUGUUAUACAGAAACU
rnacentral:lncRNA from 1 species